CUGCCCAAUGAAUAAAUUUAAUGGCUGCAGUAUAAAUAACUGUACAAAGGUAGCAUAAUCAAUUGAUUUUUAAAUGAAAUCUGGAAUAAAAGAAUUAAUGAAAUAUAUACUGUCUCAUAUAUAUAAUAUAAAUUUAAAAUUUUAAUAAAAAUGUUAAAAUUUAUUUAUGGGACGAUAAGACCCUAUAGAAUUUUAUAUUAAAUUAUUUUUAUAAUAUUAAAUAUAAAAUUUAAAUUAAUAUUUAAUUGGGAGAAUUAUUAAAUUUAAAAAAUUUUAAUUUUUAAAAACUUUAAUUAAAGAAAAUAUAUUGAUCUUUAAAUUAAAAUUAAUAGAAUAAA
rnacentral:rRNA from 1 species